rnacentral:tRNA from 1 species
GGGGAUGUAGCUCAGUGGUAGAGCACCUGCCUAAACAUUUGUGAGGCACAGGGUUGCAUCCCCU